rnacentral:rRNA from 1 species
ACCCCGGUUUAACCACCGGGAUGUUCAUAACCCUUUGAUGUCCGACUCUGUUGCCUCCGGGGCGACCCUGCCUUCGGGCGGGGGCUCCGGGUGGACACUUCAAACUCUUGCGUAACUUUGCAGUCUGAGUAAACUUAAUUAAUAAAUUAAAACUUUUAACAACGGAUCUCUUGGUUCUGGCAUCGAUGAAGAACGCAGCGAAAUGCGAUAAGUAAUGUGAAUUGCAGAAUUCAGUGAAUCAUCGAAUCUUUGAACGCACAUUGCGCCCCCUGGUAUUCCGGGGGGCAUGCCUGUUCGAGCGUCAUUUCACCACUCAAGCCUCGCUUGGUAUUGGGCAUCGCGGUCCGCCGCGUGCCUCAAAUCGACCGGCUGGGUCUUCUGUCCCCUAAGCGUUGUGGAAACUAUUCGCUAAAGGGUGUUCGGGAGGCUACGCCGUAAAACAACCCCAUUUCUAAGGUUGACCUCGGAUCAGGUAGGGAUACCCGCUGAACUUAAGCAUAUCAAUAAGCGGAGGAAAAGAAACCAACAGGGAUUGCCCCAGUAACG